UACAGAGGGUGCGAGCGUUAAUCGGAAUUACUGGGCGUAAAGGGCGCGUAGGCGGUUAUCCAAGUGUGAUGUGAAAGCCCCGGGCUUAACCUGGGAAGUGCAUCGCAAACGGAGUAACUGGAGUAUAUGAGAGGGUGGCGGAAUUUCCGGUGUAGCGGUGAAAUGCGUAGAGAUCGGAAGGAACGUCGAUGGCGAAGGCAGCCACCUGGCAUAAUACUGACGCUGAGGCGCGAAAGCGUGGGGAGCGAACAGG
rnacentral:rRNA from 1 species